GGGCCGCUCCCCCGGGGGCCUCCCGCCCGCCGCGGCCCCGCCCAACGAGCGCGGCUGCAGCGGGACGAGCCGCUCCGGGCCGGGCGCUGGCGCCGAGGCCGCUGCUGCCGCUCCUGCUCUGACUGCGCCCGCUGCGGGACCGGGGCCUCGCCGGGGCUCGCUGCUGCUUGAGCCGCUCAUCCGAUACCUGCCGGAGCACAGGAGAUCCGGAGUGGGAAUGGAUACACAAAGACCACCAAGUCGAACCCUUAUGUGAACGACUCAUCUGUAGACUGAACCCACACCUGGGCAUUCUCAGUACACUGCUCCAACCAAGCCAAUCUCAGCUCCUGGCAAUGUCCUGCCUGGGAUAGGAAUGCCAAGUGCCAGCAAGGUCAUUCCUAUGCAAAUACAGCUCCUUCUUUUAUGCUAAUGCUGCUUUCCACACCAGCCCCUGCAAUGGCCCCAGGGCAGAGCUCCAUGGCCAGCACCUGAUCAUGGAACAACACAGGGAGAAAUGAGCAAGGCAAGUCCUGAGGGUUCACUUGGUCCACAGCCAAAGUUCUUCUGGAGAGUGUCAGGGCUGCUCCUGCCUGCAGAGGGGCCUUUCCCACAGGUGCCCCGGGGAUGCCAGGGAGGUGCCUUUGCCCACAGUGCCUUUCUCCUGCCCCUCUCCAGCCCGAGGCCUCUUCUCCCUUCCCUGCCAGCUGCUGCCAAAGAAGGAGGACACAGUGAGUGCUGAGUUGACCUCCAAAUAGUCCUUCCCUCACCUUGAGAUGACCUGAGAUUUUACUCCCACAAUGUCCCCAUCUGUCUCCUUCUGAGUUCCUCAUUUUUUACAAGGAAGCAUUCUUUCUCUGCUCUGGAGAUUACCAAAAGAUUUGCCCCCAAAACUUUCCCCACCUGUCCACUACCUCUUUCCUCAUUUCCACCUCAAUCUUUUCAUUCUUUGCCCUACAGAUGCUUUCAAUUUUUACCCCUCCGAACUUCCCUACCUGUCCAUAAGUGAUUACCUCAGUUUACCCCAUCAAGUGCAUUCUCUCUGCUACAGAUCACCUCAGAUUCUACCCCCAAAAUUUUCUGUACCUCUCCACCAC